GGGAAUUUUGGACAAUGGGCGAAAGCCUGAUCCAGCAAUGCCGCGUGUGUGAAGAAGGCCUUCGGGUUGUAAAGCACUUUUGUCCGGAAAGAAAUCCUCUGGGUUAAUACCUCGGGGGGAUGACGGUACCGGAAGAAUAAGCACCGGCUAACUACGUGCCAGCAGCCGCGGUAAUACGUAGGGAGCAAGCGUUGUUCGGAUUUACUGGGCGUAAAGGGCGCGCAGGCGGCGCGGUAAGUCACUUGUGAAAUCUCUGAGCUUAACUCAGAACGGCCAAGUGAUACUGCUGUGCUAGAGUGCGGAAGAGGCAACCGGAAUUCUUGGUGUAGCGGUGAAAUGCGUAGAUAUCAAGAGGAACACCUGAGGCGAAGGCGGGUUGCUGGGCCGACACUGACGCUGAUGCGCGAAAGCCAGGGGAGCAAACG
rnacentral:rRNA from 1 species